CCACUCCUUCGUCGAGGCAAGACGUGCGCCCGAGCCCCGCUGAACCGAGGCCACCCGGAGCCGUGCCCGGCGGCCUCAAGAACCCGGCAACCUCUGCCUUCUUCCCUCUUCCACUCGGAGUCGCGCUCCGCGCGCCCUCACUGCAGCCCCUGCGUCGCCGGGACCCUCGCGCGCGACCGCCGAAUCGCUCCUGCAGCAGAGCCAACAUGCCCAUCACUCGGAUGCGCAUGAGACCCUGGCUAGAGAUGCAGAUUAAUUCCAACCAAAUCCCGGGGCUCAUCUGGAUUAAUAAACCUCAUGUGUAUGUGUGUAUUGUUCAGGAGGAGAUGAUCUUCCAGAUCCCAUGGAAGCAUGCUGCCAAGCAUGGCUGGGACAUCAACAAGGAUGCCUGUUUGUUCCGGAGCUGGGCCAUUCAUACAGGCCGAUACAAAGCAGGGGAAAAGGAGCCAGAUCCCAAGACGUGGAAGGCCAACUUUCGCUGUGCCAUGAACUCCCUGCCAGAUAUCGAGGAGGUGAAAGACCAGAGCAGGAACAAGGGCAGCUCAGCUGUGCGAGUGUACAGGAUGCUUCCACCUCUCACCAAGAACCAGAGAAAAGAAAGAAAGUCGAAGUCCAGCCGAGAUGCUAAGAGCAAGGCCAAGAGGAAGUCAUGUGGGGAUUCCAGCCCUGAUACCUUCUCUGAUGGACUCAGCAGCUCCACUCUGCCUGAUGACCACAGCAGCUACACAGUUCCAGGCUACAUGCAGGACUUGGAGGUGGAGCGGGCCCUGACUCCAGGUGAGCUGGUCCAGGUCUGGCAGGGGACCCCACAGGUCAGUGGGAUGACUCUUUCUCUUGGAGGCAUGGUGCUGGCACAUGGUGGCCCAUUAGUGCAGGCUGCAGGGAUGGUCGGGGGGCGCUCGAUGUCUUGCAAACUAAGAAAGCACACAACCUUGACCUGUGGCUUCUGCUGUCCCCCAGCACUGUCGCCGUGUGCUGUCAGCAGCACUCUCCCCGACUGGCACAUCCCAGUGGAAGUUGUGCCGGACAGCACCAGUGAUCUGUACAACUUCCAGGUGUCACCCAUGCCCUCCACCUCUGAAGGUUGGUGCUCCUGGGGCCUGGCCUGCCUGCUUGACUGUCUGGGUCCUGUGAAGGGCUUCCUGAGAGAGAAAAGAUGCUUAGAACUCCACCUGGCACUGAACUGAUUGAGUUGGGCAUUGCCCAGUCUU
rnacentral:sRNA from 1 species